CUCUCUUUUCCAAACACAACAAACUCACCGCCACACACUGCCCUUCCUGCGACCUUGAAUCCAGAGACCACCAGGCCCAAAAGCCACCUGGAGGAUUUCACUACUGUCUCUGUGGUGGUCAGAAGGGCUGAGAGCAGAACGCAGGAGCCAGAAGACAAUGUCAGAACCCCUUGGAACUGGAGUUACAGACAGGUAGGGAAUCCACAACAGACCAAAGCAUGGAUACGCCCCAAGUCCAACGUGGUGAACCGAUGAAUCUCCAAAGCACAACCUAGACACAGGUGACAUCUCUGGGAACCUGAGCACAAGACACAGCUUCAGCGAGCUCAGCAGGUUGUUUCAGAAGUUUAGUCCAUUAUCAAAAUGGCACUGAGUAUGAAGACACACAGGCAGACAGGAUGCUGGAGAAGGAGCUGAGAGUUCUGUAUCUGGAUCCGUGGACAGCAGGAGAGACACUGGGACUGGCUUGGAUUUUUGAAACAUCAAAGGAUGCCUGCUUCCCACGUGUGGGGACAGAGGUGCAGAAAAGCAUUUCCCUGAUAUCAAGAUGACAACAUGACCAACUCUGUAGCACCUCACAGAUGAUUUCUACCAGCCUUAGCUACGGAAACCGCACCCCAAGAAGAGCUUUGAAUUAGCCAUAUCCAGAGACCUGAUUCUGCGCACCCAGCACAGAACAAACACCCUUCCCCCAGAGGUCCACUCUAGAUGAGAGAGCUUCCCCAGGGGUUGCUAGCCGCACCUAACUGUCAUAAAGGAUGCUGGCCCCAGAGCUCAGAGCACACCUCCAUUGCACCUCGGUGCCUGCCCCAUGUCUGAGCCCAUGAGUUCUCAUCAGUAUCGCCUCCAGUCUUUUGGGCCUGCUUGGGACCUUUACUUUCUUGGGCUGUGGAACCAUAAUGUACUGACCUCGAAACCAGUCCUGGCUGGGUUACAGCCAGGACAACAAACUUGUUUCCACUGGAGAGCCUGGGUGCAUUCUAGUAGCAGUGAUUUAACCAAAGACCACCCAGACCUGAUUUUACUCACUGCCCCUUGCUACGUCUGAAGGUCUGGGGAAAGCACCCACCUUGGCCUGAGGUGUGUGGCUAUUAGCCUUUCCAGGAAAGUGACGGUGGCAACCGUGGUUAUAAACGUGACCAGUUAACAGAACCUAGCAGCCCUGCCUUCUGUCUGUGCCAGGGUGGAAGCCAGUGGCCCGAGCCGACCAGAAGAUCGCCUGAGCCGAGCAGAUGAGCCAGAGCCAAUCAGAGGAGCACCUGACUCCCAGCUUUAUAUUACCAUUUUUUCCUUUUAAUUUCUUCUUCUCACAUAUAUUACAUCCUGACCACAGUUUCCCCUUCGUCCCCUCCCCCUAGUCUCUUCUCCUUUCACCUUUGCUCAGAAAAGAGCACACCACUCCAGAGCAUCAACCAGACAUGCACAACAAGCUACAGUAAGUAAGACAGGCACAUAUUCUCACAUCGAGGCUGGGCAAGGCCACCCAGUAGGAGGAAAUGAGCCCCAAAGGCAGGCAGAAGAGCCAGAGAGAGCCCCUGUUCCCACUCUUAGGACAAGACCUAGCUCAGACCCCUGCAGGUUCCCUGAUCUCUUUGAGCCCCGUGAGUCCUGGUCAGUUGAUUCUGUGGGCCCUUUUGUGUGAUGUCCUUGAUCCCUGCGGCUACUCCAGCCCUUCUUCCCCCUCUUCUGCAGGACCCCCGAGCUCCGCCUAGCGUUUGGCUGUGGGACAGUGCACCUGUUCCCAUCAGUUGCUUCAUGAAGUCUCCCUGGUCUCUCUGGGGACGAUGAUGCCAGAUUUAAUAACGGGAUGCUACACUCUACAUUUCAUGAAGCAUAUUCAUUAUUUGGUGAUCUCUGCACCUGGGUCACUAGUCCAUCAAUGUCUUCAUUCACAGUUUCCUGUCAAAACUGCUUUUUUUUUUCCUUCGCAGGCAUCAGCUGGACCCCAAGGUGGGGUCUAGGCACUCCAAACCUUCAUGAACCUACACCUUAGUAGCUGUGAGUUUAUUUAUUCUUUUUGUUUGCUUAUUUGUUUGUCUUGAAACCGGCUCUCUCUAUUGUGUCUCUCCGGCUGUCCUGGAACUCACUAUGUUAAGCAGACUGGCCUCACAGAAAUCCACCUACGUCUAGCUUCUAAAUGUUAUUCUAUUUCUUUUAAAACGUAUUUAUCCAUUUAUUUAUUUUGAGACAGACCUCACUACAUGGACAGAGUGCUGGGAUUAAAGAUGCGUGUCACCAUGCCUGAAC
rnacentral:lncRNA from 1 species